UACGAACCGUCCAAACGUUAUUCGGAAUUACUGGGCUUAAAGGGUGCGUAGGCUGUGCUGUAAGUCGGGUGUGAAAUCCCUCGGCUCAACCGAGGAACUGCGCCCGAUACUGCAAUGCUAGAGGGAGACAGAGGUGAGCGGAACUGAUGGUGGAGCGGUGAAAUGCGUUGAUAUCAUCAGGAACACCGGUGGCGAAAGCGGCUCACUGGGUCUCUUCUGACGCUGAGGCACGAAAGCUAGGGUAGCGAACGGG
rnacentral:rRNA from 1 species